rnacentral:misc_RNA from 1 species
UUAAGUUCAGCGGGUAGUCCUACCUGAUUUGAGAUCAAACGUUCAAAGAGCUGUCUUCACUGAGGAGAGACAUUUAUGAGCCCCAGUGAACCUUCAGUGAUGAAGGUUACCCAGCGGAAAGCCACAAGCGUAGAUAUAUAGUUAUCACACCUGUGAUGCCACCGAACACUGGUAAGCUGAUCCAUUUGAGAGGAGCUGAC